UACGUAGGUGGCAAGCGUUGUCCGGAUUUACUGGGUGUAAAGGGCGUGUAGCCGGGAAGGCAAGUCAGAUGUGAAAUCUGGAGGCUCAACCUCCAAAUUGCAUUUGAAACUGCUUCCCUUGAGUAUCGGAGAGGUAACCGGAAUUCCUAGUGUAGCGGUGAAAUGCGUAGAUAUUAGGAAGAACACCAGUGGCGAAGGCGGGUUACUGGACGACAACUGACGGUGAGGCUCGAAAGCGUGGGGAGCAAACAGG
rnacentral:rRNA from 1 species